ensembl:lncRNA
CGCGGGGGUUUUGCGGUGCGCGGAGCGGCGGGGGGUUGGGCUGCCCGCAGCCGCUCCCCGUGCGUGAAUAGUUGUCGGUAACAUCAACCUGACGUCAUCCCCGGGUAAAAAGAUCCCUCUUUUGUUCUCCUUCCCUCCCACCGCUCCCCCUUCGAAAAUGAAAAGCGUGAACAUUUGCGAAAAAUAAAAACUAACGAGGAUUGCUCUCCCCCACGUUAAUGGCCGCGCACGGGGGGAUGUAGCGCGGAGGAUCCUGCCCGGGCUGCGCCGCGCCGCGCCGCGCCGUAAUGAAGGCGCGGGCCCUUUGAUCCGGGCUUCUGCAGGCUGCCUCUCUUUUCUUAGUUCCCUCUGCUUCCCUUUUCUGCACCCUUAAAUAUGAAUGGUGAACCGAGAAGAGAGGAGGCCAAGAGGAAAAUGUGUCUUACUGAGACUUGCCAGCUAUCCAAGUUGCAUGCAGAGAGACAGUUCCAGCUCAUGCGUCUGGCUCGGACAGCAGCAUCGGCUAUCAAACACCCUGUUGCCUGCCUUGCUCCAGGCUGGAGUAACUGCUAUGGUGAGCUGAGGGAGCUGGUGGGGGCUGCUGCUGCUGCCUGUGUUUGUGGAUGCAUCUUAUGUUACAUGCUCAGAAUGAGGGCACUGGCAGGAGAGGAGAGGUGUCUGCAAUCGCAGACUGUCACUUGUCAGGCAGAGGGGCACAGAGCAGGCUUCUUCCUGCCAGCUUAUCCCAUUGGAGUUUCUGGCCCUAGGUUUCUAUGGGAUUCUGCAACAGUGAAGUUUGGGAGCAUAGACAUUUUGAGAAGGAAUACAGGCUUGACAGCUGUGGGCAGGUGGUGCCAGGCUUAUUCCCUGUGGAAGCCAUCUCAAGACCAGCUAUUGCACUAUGAAUCCCUUCUGCCUUGGAGGAUAACCUGCCCUGGUCUUAGCAUCCGUCAUCCUGCAGCCACCAGGAGAGGGAGUUUUGGGAUGAAACCUUCUGUAAUAUCUGACAAGACCACACGCUGCUGCAAGGACUGCUGCUCUCAACCAGACAGGGGACUCAGAGUGUGGAGGAAAGUCUGCAGCUCCGGCCCAGGGAUAAUAUGCCUUGUAAAAGAUGUGAAGAGCAGUGGAAGGAGAGGAAUAGUGCAGGGACUCAGAGGACUGAGGCACCUCCUGUUACCGUGAAGAGGAUUCUGUAGAUCUAAUCCAGACAGUGCUGGGUAGGGCAUGCAUCCUCUGCAGAGUCCUCUUACGAAUGAGGGUGCAGCUUCAUGUUAUGGAUCCUUCAACAGGGGAUCCUAACCCCGUCUGCCACUUGCUCCCGCCCUGUGCAGGGGGCUGCUGCCUCUGCUCCCAUGCCUGGUGUGUCCAGGAGAUGUUAAAGUGAGCUAUCUAAGAAAAAAAUAGAUAAAAUUCAGCAAGAAGUGCAUAGAAAAAUAGAUGAGUAAUAGGAAAAUGGUGUUUCUUCAGGACCAAGUCAUUUUAUAGCUCUGUCUUAGCUAAGCUGGUGCAAAUGAAAGGAAUAAUCAACUCUUCUUGGGGACAGGAGAUGGCAGGGAUGAGGGUGGAUUGUGAGGGCAGGGGAGAAAACUCAACCAGUGCUGCUACCAAAGGAUUAGAAACAUUAUUACCCACCCUUAAUUAAUAGGAAUGGGAUUCAUCUAACUUGCCUAAAAACCAGGUGUGCAUACGGGCACCGGGCACAUCUGUAGAGUGAGUAUCCUAUGCCAUGUGGUAAAUCAGCUCCUGGCUGCUGAGUUGCUUUUUCUAUCCUUUGUGAGGGAGUCCAGAUGUCCAGCUGACCCAAAUGCCUAACUCUUAGCUAAAGUGAGCUCAGAUGAAUGCUACUCUUACUCUUCAAUUAGAUUAUUGUCUGAGUUUACAAAUAUAUCCAUUAACUAGUUUGAUUUGAACAGAUUCUGUAAGCACCUAAAAUUGGACCUAUGUUAAUGAUGGAAAAAACUAGUCUCUGUAGAUUACAUUGCUAAAGAAAUAUGAUCGUCCUCCAUUUUGUGUCAUUCUUUGCCAAAUGUAGUUUCUUGCCAACAGUGAAAAGUCAUGUUCUGCUGGAGGAAAUUCCUUGAAGACUUGCCAUCUCUCAACAUCACUUCUCUCUUCUAUUGUUUCUAGAAGGAAUAAAACUCCAAAGUGCUUUAAGCAAAAAUGACCACUGCUUCUCUUUGUCAUCUGAACAUAGCUUAAACUCUUCUCUAAGGACAGCUUGCUUUCAUUCUCCAGAAAGGGAUGAAACAAACCCAUGAAAUUAAAAUGCUGGGACACCUUAUCCAAAGAGUCAUUUUAUCUAAUCUGGUACCAAAAUUACUGCAGUGGCUUUAUCAUUGUUUUAUGUUUACUGGAUGUAAUAACCAUAGGCAAUGAAUGUGCUAUCUACUAUAUGGUAUACAGCAAACACAAUUAGAGUUAAGGUUAUCUAGGUACAGAUUUGAAUAUCAUUUGAAACUAUUUCUUAGGUUUAGCAUACUUGGUUUGGAGAUAAUUGAACUACCAUGUAAAAGACAAUGUAAGAGAUAAAUAUGUACUUAGUCACAAGGCUAUCUUGCUACAGCUUUUGUUUGGUGAUCAUUACAGCACUGUAAUGCUGUAAGUCAGCAUUAUGGUAUGCAAUAAGUUGCUAUUACCUGGCCAUUGAUCAGAUGAACUGUUGUCUGCUUCUCCAAGCCACCUGAAGCUGGCUGUGCUUUCCCCAUGAAAUCAGUGCAUACGUGCCUGACUGACCAGAAGAGCUGUGUUUGAUUUAUUAUUAUUACAAUAAAGUUGUUCGUUCCUAACUAA